rnacentral:tRNA from 1 species
AGGUAUAGUUCAGGGGUAGAGUGCAUGCUUAGCAUGCACAAGGUCCUGGGUUCAAUCCCCAGUACCU